ensembl:lncRNA
GGCUCAUCUGGGGUCCUCACAAACUGAGGAGCUGCAUGAGUGCACACGGAGGGUCUGGCACUCACAGUGCUGUAAAUUGCUUUUGUCUCCUCUUCCCUUUCAUCUUGCUGUCUUCUUCACUUCCCUCUCUGGUUUUAAAGACUUGUGAUCUAAUCUGGACCAAGUUUCACUUGUUCUUUUAUUUUCUCUCUCUUAAAGAGAAGUGUUCUGCAAACUUUCCAGUAUUUCAGUACAUUUUGUGAGAGAGUACAUUUGCAACAAGUGCAGCAUUUGUGCUGUAUCACCUCCAUAUUUCUGCACCUUCCCAAUAGCCUGCAAAGCCUCUGCCACCUUUUUCAAGCAUUGCCAAUUAAAAAAGAAAAUACUCUUUGCAGUGUAUGUGACAUUCACCUUGAUACCCCUGGCAUUCAGAGUGCCUGCUGGUUUUCAAGCUAGUGAUUAAGAACUGUCUGAAAUAGUUUUGCACAUGGUCUGUGAAUCCUCAGUCAGAGCUCUUCCGUCACCGCUGCUGUGAAGCAUUUCUCCUUGGCUUUACGGUUGUUUAACAAAUUCCUUUGCAAGAACUCUUGGUCUUGAAAAUUAAGUAAUCUCUUUCCUCUUGUAAACAUUUAUUUCCUACAAAUAAAGCGUCAGUAGCUCUAACGCCAUUUUUAGUAGAUAGAGAUCAGCCUAGGACAUGACCAAGAUGCACCAAACAACGUAGUGAUUAAGCAUUUGGUCUCUCUCCCAUCACCUCAUUUUUCAUUUCAUUCUUUGUCCAGGUGUUUUUCCCAUGCUAUUAAGUUGCUUCCUGGCAAAGCUGUUUGAUGCAUCUUUCUUCUACCUCUCAGUUUAGAACUAGUUCAGAACCUGAAAUGAAAUGGGCGCAGACGCUGCUUUCCCUUUGAUGGUAUUUCCAACCAUCUUCAAGAAAUGGAUCGAUUUGCUGCUCCUGUGAUCAGUGAGCUUAAAGCUAAGGCACGAACAUCUUCCUUCUAACAGCAGGUUAAAAGAAGAUGAAUCAAACUUAAAUAACUGGAUCCCAUGUAGAUGACUUAAAAAUGCAGCUAACAAAAAAGCUGAUCUUGUAUGGUGAAGGAAUUAUGCCAGAAAUUCUCUCCCCUCAAAAAUAUACCAUUCUGUAGUUCCUUGUACUUAAGGCACCAAAAGAAAAGGUUUACAUGAUCAAAUUAUGAGAAUGGUAACAUCAAUUUAUUUAACUUUAACUGACCACAGAUGGCAGAAAUUAACAGGACAGCCGUGAUCCUGCUUAAUAGAUGCAGUAUAUCUGGAGAGAGUACUGAAAACAAGGACAUUUAUUCUAGGCCCUUGUCAGAAAUGUUAUGCCUAAUUUUCAGCAUGUUUAAUUAGCACAGCUAGUUUAGAUCCUUAAGAUUGUUUCUAUUUUAAAAACAAAACUGAAUUCUAUGGGUCUGGCGCAUGAAUUGGUCACUAACGUACUUUACUGGUGUAAUGCUCCUUUCGUCUUACUCUGUUUUUUAAUUGCAGGAUUGGAUUGUUCAGAAUGAGGAGGAAGCUACAAACAAAUUAUUCAGACACUGUUACAAACAGCAGCAAUCACAGUAUACGGCCACCUGUAAGAAAGCCGUGGGCUGGAAGCUUGCAUAAAUUGUCUGGUACGGCAGACCAAGUACAGAAUGCAGAUCUCUGAUGUGGAGACAGUAGGUGAAGGCAGUAAGCGAGAAAGAAAAUCAUGUGACCUGACUUGUGUUUGCAGCCAUUUUAGACACGAUGGCAGACAACUCAUCGUGGCCCAAUUUGUUGAGCUGCUUUCCACUGCUGUAACUUCUUGAAGUAGUUUCCUCCGUUUUGAAAGAGGAGGCUCCUGGGUAGUGAGCUGAAGUGGCGGACCACCAGCUUCAGAGGAAGACACAUGAAAGAGGCAAGGACUUCACGUAUAGCCUGGCACCUUGUUAGGCUGCCCAUGCAUUGUCUCCCCAGAAGUAUACCUGCAACCACCUAAGAGCCCAAGCCUGUAAGAUCUGAAACCUUUUGCACAGUAUGUGGUUGGCUGAGGGACCAGAGAAGCCAGCUGUGCAGCUCAGUUCCUCUCUCUUCACAAGCAGAGUUUCCUAGUUGAGGUGCUUUCCUCCUCCUCUAUCUUCAGCUGCUCCAAAGGAUGCCUGGAACAAAACGGCCUUCAAAUGCUUCUCUCUGCUAACACUAGCAAGGGUGUUCUGCCAAUUCCUACCUCAGCUCCCCUUGAUCUGGGUCCUGGAAACUCAGCGAGUGCUGUGUCCUGAAGCUAGGAGCCACGGAGACAGGCAUUCUGACUGCACACUGCCUCUGUGCCUAGAUGAGCUGUCAUUGGGCACGAGAAGGAGAAAAGAGACUGCAAAAAACAAGAGGGAUAAAACGACAUCAUCCGGAGGGAAAAGACCAGAUAAUUACCCACAUUUCCCAGCAUGAGGGUGGAAUAACCAGGUGGACCAAACUGUCAAAACAAUUAUCUACUGAACUGCAAUGACGAUGAUGAGAGAGAACUCCUUUGCUAACAACUGCCAAGAUGCAGAGCAUGCUCAGACUACACUCAAAGCCCUAUGUCAUGGAGAUCCUUGCUGUGGGUGCCAGGUUGUUAACAUAGAUUGCAGCCAAAGAAUUUUAUUGUGGAAGGUGUGUGUGGGUCAGUGCCUCUCCUGUACAAAGGACGCCACAUCUGGACCCAGUACUCCAGGUGAGGCCUUGCCAGCGCAGAGUAGAGGACAGGACCAUCUCCCUGGCCCUGCUCACCAUGCUUCUUUCGAAUGGCAUCCCGUCCCUCAAGUGUGUCAGCUGCAUUUUCAUGGAGGAUGUUUAGAGAGAAGAGAUUAUUUCAUCUGCGGGUGUCAUCUACGUAUGAAUGGAGCAUUUUUCUGCUGGUGAUGUUUUCAUAUUUCAAAUUCUGCCCUCUCACCUUUGGAGAACAAGAGAGUCCAUCCACAGAGAACAAAAUCCUGGAGGUGUUCUGCAGAGCAGGUAGGCACCUCAGAUUUCUCUUUCCAGCAACCUCCUUUGGAGGCCAUCAGUGGCCGGAGCUGCUCUGCUGUCACAUUUAAAGGGAGAUGCAUCCAGGCUGGACAGACUGGCUGGACUCUGAUGGAAACCAUUUCAACCCCAGCAAGAGGAUGGUUUUCGACUGGAUACAAACGCCAUGCAUAUUACAAAGCAGUCAGCCAGGAACAGAAGAUGACUUAAGGCAGGAGAACUCGUGACCCACCAGGAAUGCUACCUUACUUCCAGCUGUGGAGCUGUGACCCCUCAGGAGCUGAACCAUUUAAGAAGUGCCCAGCUAUCACAGAAUCUGUCAUCUGAAUGCUGCACCCUGUCUUCAGAAGAGCUCUUUCAUUCACAAAGACACUAGCAGGGAGUCCAAGUGCCAUCUAUUUCUCUCUGUUAUCUCUUACAUGGCGGUUCCAUCUCUUCCAGUUAAUAAGGUUAAAACAGAGACUGACAGUAAAGUAACACUGAAUUAUUAAAAGUGAAACUUCAGUUAUUGUUAUUCCAGAGCUUCUGCUAAAUGUGCCAUCUUCUCCUCUAGACUUCAUUUCAGGGGAAAGACUCGACAUGCUUGGAGAAUAGCAUCACUGCACUCCCACUGCACAUCCCUGUCCAAACCUUCUCAUCCAACAAAAUGAAUACAAAUACUCAUGAAAGAGGCCAUAAUAAUUUCGAUAAAGAAAUAGAGAAUUAGCAGUAAAUGACAGUCAGCGAUGCACAGCACAGGGAGUGCUAAUAUAUUUUAUUAAAAAUAUUAUUAGCACGCUACUUUAGGGUUAAAAGGUGUCUCUCAGUAGAUUUCAAAUGCUCCUACCCCUCUCGGAUUUCCUUGAGCUCAAAACUUCCCAUAUCUCACUCAUUUCCCCUCUCAGUAGUUUUCCUGCCUGUUCGUACUUCCUGCAAGAAGGUCCUCAGGGCUCCCCUUCCAACAUGGCCAUUUCUGUCUGUGGCAGGUUUUCAGAAGAACAGUGUUUGUGGUCUGUUCAUGUAACAAUCCAUACAUCUAUGCAAAAAUAAGUCCCCCAUAACAGCAACACCACAUGUCUGGGAAAUGUGGAAUACCUAUCUGUCGGUACAUCCCAUCUCCUCACUUGCCCAGGCUGCCUUUAGGGUCUUCUUAACCCUGCCCUCUUUAGCAGGCCCUCAGGUAAAUGAGACACUUGAAGGGAUGGUGUUACAGAAGCAGUAAACAAAGUUUUUCAUUACUUCAACCAUAAAGAUAUAUGAAACUCUUAAAAACCAACGCAUGGAUUUGGAAUUAAUAACUAAGUUUAUGAUCAACUCUGAGUGGUCCGACUCUCUUCAAAGUAUCAAUAAACUCCUGCCAGUUUUAAAUUCUGUAUGUCUAAGUAAAACAUAUACUUUUCCUAUAGCUUUCAGCUGGGAGUGGGGAGUCUAUACCAUCAUAAGGGGCUUGUUUGCUCUUCUGAAGAGCCAAAAGAAAACUGGUUUGCUGGUUUUUAAACAACCCGAUGGUUCCUUCCCAAAUACACAGAACAGAAUUUUCUGCAGGAUGCCUCUGCUCAAUCCUAUAGAGCAAAAGGAAUUAAAAUGUAUGAGGCUAAAAGUGGAGAUUAACCAUAAUCUAAACAGAGCUCAAAUUAAAUGAUUCUCUUGUUUUUUAUUGUUAAUAAAGGCAGGGUGGAAUGCCAGAGCCAUGGCGGGUACUACUGGGAGAUCAUUAUAAAGAAUAUGCAAAGAGGUAUUCGAGGUAACAUACUUUAGGCCCAUGAAUGUGGAAGGAUCGAUAGUACUGGAUAUGCAGAUGUUUUAAGGGACAGAAAAUGAAAACAAUGGCACCUUAUUUUUGUUGUUAAAUACAAAAUUCUCAUUUCCAGAUCAUUUCUUCCUACUGGAAGGAAAACACAACACCAAUCCAGAUUUCUGACUUAAAAAAAAAAAGAAAGAAAGAAAAAAAGAUCUGAUAAAACCAUUUUUUUUAAUUUCACACUUAAACCUUCCUAUAAAGUAUGGGCAAAUACUGUCAGUUAAGUGUCCCUUCAUCAAAAAACAAACACACUGCUGAGACUGAUGUAACAGUUCUUACCAUCUAUUUGGUAUUCACAUGCAAAAAAAUAAAAAAUAAAAAGAAUCAGACAUCAAAUCCUCUGCUGUGACCCACAGCUCACAGCCAUGUUUUCCCCCUUCUGUCCAACACAAACCAUGUAAUACUCAUCACCAUUGUGAACUACUACGGCAGAUCUGCGAAACGCCAAAGUUAGGCUGACUGGAAAUUCUACUAGUACACAAAAUACCUUUACAAUAUAUUACACCUUCCUACUUUGAUUAAACUUAUUACUUCAUAUUUCAAGCAGAGGUAAAUAUUCCCCUAGUGGGAAAAUAUUGUCUAUUUGUAUAAGACUUAAUGACAUAAAGUAAAUUGCGCUGUUGGUUUGAGUUAGACAUGCAAUACACUUCAGUAAUGUGCUAUUUCCUUCUGUAUAUGAUGCAAUUCUAAGGAAAACAUGAUUAAAAAAAAUUGCUUGAGAUUUCCGUUUAUUGCUUUAAAGGUUAUUACUAACAUCAGCAUUCUACUAUUUUUCCCCUCAUCAAUUUCCAUUAUCAUUUUGAUUCAGAGUAAUUCUCUCCUUGUAGGUUUGCCCAACAGAUUUUAAGUGAAUAUAGUACUCUGAUUAAAAAGAAAGCAGAAUAAAAUAGAGGCCUGCUGAUUCAAAACAUUAUGAAAGAUAGUUCAGUUAACGUGAGCCUUGUUUCACAUUUUCAUUGAAAGACAUUUUCCUCUGAAACCUCUACAUGCAGUCCUCUCCUGUCGUUACCA